rnacentral:rRNA from 1 species
AAUAAGCGGAGGAAAAGAAACCAACAGGGAUUGCCUUAGUAACGGCGAGUGAAGCGGCAAAAGCUCAAAUUUGAAAUCUGGCACCUUCGGUGUCCGAGUUGUAAUUUGAAGAAGGUAACUUUGGGAUUGGCUCUUGUCUAAGUUCCUUGGAACAGGACGUCACAGAGGGUGAGAAUCCCGUGCGAUGAGAUGACCAAUCCUAUGUAAAGUGCUUUCGAAGAGUCGAGUUGUUUGGGAAUGCAGCUCUAAGUGGGUGGUAAAUUCCAUCUAAAGCUAAAUAUUGGCGAGAGACCGAUAGCGAACAAGUACAGUGAUGGAAAGAUGAAAAGAACUUUGAAAAGAGAGUGAAAAAGUACGUGAAAUUGUUGAAAGGGAAGGGCUUGAGAUCAGACUUGGUAUUUUGCAUUCCUUACCUUCGUGGUGGGGUUCCUUGCAGUUUACUGGGCCAGCAUCGGUUUGGAUGGUGGGAUAAUGACAUUGGAAUGUGGCUCUGCUUCGGUAGAGUGUUAUAGCCAGUGUUGAUACCGCCUGUCUAGACCGAGGACUGCGUCUUUGACUAGGAUGCUGCAAAAUGAU